GACGAACGCUGGCGGCGUGCCUAAUACAUGCAAGUAGAACGCUGAAGAGAGGAGCUUGCUCUUCUUGGCUGAGUUGCGAACGGGUGAGUAACGCGUAGGUAACCUGCCUUGUAGCGGGGGAUAACUAUUGGAAACGAUAGCUAAUACCGCAUAACAAUGGAUGACACAUGUCAUUUAUUUGAAAGGGGCAAUUGCUCCACUACAAGAUGGACCUGCGUUGUAUUAGCUAGUAGGUGAGGUAAUGGCUCACCUAGGCGACGAUACAUAGCCGACCUGAGAGGGUGAUCGGCCACACUGGGACUGAGACACGGCCCAGACUCCUACGGGAGGCAGCAGUAGGGAAUCUUCGGCAAUGGGGGCAACCCUGACCGAGCAACGCCGCGUGAGCGAAGAAGGUUUUCGGAUCGUAAAGCUCUGUUGUAAGUCAAGAACGGGUGUGAGAGUGGAAAGUUCACACUGUGACGGUAGCUUACCAGAAAGGGACGGCUAACUACGUG
rnacentral:rRNA from 1 species